AGUGAACGCUGGCGGUAGGCCUAACACAUGCAAGUCGAACGGCAGCACAGAGGAGCUUGCUCCUUGGGUGGCGAGUGGCGGACGGGUGAGGAAUACAUCGGAAUCUACUCUGUCGUGGGGGAUAACGUAGGGAAACUUACGCUAAUACCGCAUACGACCUACGGGUGAAAGCAGGGGACCUUCGGGCCUUGCGCGAUUGAAUGAGCCGAUGUCGGAUUAGCUAGGUGGCGGGGUAAAGGCCCACCAAGGCGACGAUCCGUAGCUGGUCUGAGAGGAUGAUCAGCCACACUGGAACUGAGACACGGUCCAGACUCCUACGGGAGGCAGCAGUGGGGAAUAUUGGACAAUGGGCGCAAGCCUGAUCCAGCCAUACCGCGUGGGUGAAGAAGGCCUUCGGGUUGUAAAGCCCUUUUGUUGGGAAAGAAAUCCAGCUGGCUAAUACCCGGUUGGGAUGACGGUACCCAAAGAAUAAGCACCGGCUAACUCCGUGCAAGCCGCCGCCGUAA
rnacentral:rRNA from 1 species